rnacentral:rRNA from 1 species
GAGCCUGCGUUUCAUUAGCUUGUUGGCGGGGUAACGGCCCACCAAGGCAUCGAUGGGUUGCCGAUUUGAGAGGAUGAUCGGCCACACUGGAACUGAAACACGGUCCAGACUCCUACGGGAGGCAGCAGUGGGGAAUAUUGCGCAAUGGGCGAAAGCCUGACGCAGCGACGCCGUCGUUCGCACGGGAUGCAAGGUUGUUGCGAGAUACUGCUAGACGCUCUGUUCAGCAAGUGUGAAGCACAGACGUACGUUGCUGCUCACAUGCACGUCUAGCAGCUACUGACGGUACCUUCAAAGGAAGCACCGGCUAACUCCGUGCCAGCAGCCGCGGCUAAUACAGCGCAGGGUGCAAGSGUUAAUCGGAAUUACUGGGU